rnacentral:rRNA from 1 species
UGGGGAAUUUUGGACAAUGGGCGAAAGCCUGAUCCAGCAAUGCCGCGUGUGUGAAGAAGGCCUUCGGGUUGUAAAGCACUUUUGUCCGGAAAGAAAUCCUUGGCUCUAAUACAGUCGGGGGAUGACGGUACCGGAAGAAUAAGCACCGGCUAACUACGUGCCAGCAGCCGCGGUAAUACGUAGGGUGCAAGCGUUAAUCGGAAUUACUGGGCGUAAAGCGUGCGCAGGCGGUUUGCUAAGACCGAUGUGAAAUCCCCGGGCUCAACCUGGGAACUGCAUUGGUGACUGGCAGGCUAGAGUAUGGCAGAGGGGGGUAGAAUUCCACGUGUAGCAGUGAAAUGCGUAGAGAUGUGGAGGAAUACCGAUGGCGAAGGCAGCCCCCUGGGCCAAUACUGACGCUCAUGCACGAAAAGCGUGGGGGAGCAAAACAGGAUUAGAUACCCUGGUAGUCCACGCCCUAAAACGAUGUCAACUAG